CUGGGACUGGUGACUGGGGCUGCUGACUCUGGUGGCCAGCUGUGCUGCCGCCCUCUCUAUGAUGACUUUCUAGACCUUGGAAGAAACGAGAAAGGGACUGAACCACCCGGUUUGGCUCGGUGACUCAGCCCUGUGUCUGCUACUCGUCUGGAGGUCACCUGGGAGCUGUCCUGAUUAUCAGAUCUAUUAUUGCUGUCCUUGCCUCCAGGUCCAGGAGGCCAGAGGAUGGUAUCGAAUUCCCCGGAAGUGGAGUUAUGGGAAGUUGUGAGCCAUCAUGGGGACGCUGGAAAUCGAACCCAGGUCCUCUGCAAGGGCAGCAAGGGCUCUUAACCGCCGAGCCAUCCCGCCAGUCCCUAAGAGAUUUCGUGUUGUGUGUGUGUGUGUGUUUUUUUUAACAUCCUGAACUUUGAGCUGAUGUAAACGUGUUCAGUAAAACCACAGGAGUCCAUUGCUUCACGACAAGCCCGGAAAGAUUAGACUAUAAUUGAAAGAUGGUAUGACUCACAGUAGCACAUACCUUCAAGCUCUUUAUUUCCCCUUCAGAGAAACAAACAUGAAGGAGGCUUCUUUUCAAAGAAGCAGUUUUUCAAUGCGCACACUGAUGAAGUUCCUUCGGGGCUUCAUACUUUCACAACCAACUAAGCCAGCCAACCAAUCAACAAACGAAAAAAG
rnacentral:lncRNA from 1 species